UACACCCUGUAUUGGAUGGGUUCGGGAAGUCACAUGUAUGAAUGAACGAUCAACAAACCUGUCAGCGUGUAUUUAUUAUGCCUACACACUAGACGUCGUGUGUGUAUGGUUGUACUUUUGAGUACGGAUUUUCAUCGGGAACUUUGACGUGCAUAUUAAAUAAAUAACUUCGUCUUAACUUGGUCUGACUUGGUUGAUAAACUUGAAGAACAAGAUAUAGAAGCAGCUGUCAAGUAGCCAGUUUUCUCAAGGCAUGCAACAUGCAAGAGAUCUGCUCACGUCGACGACAGGUCGCAAGGAAAAAGAAGAAGAAGCCGCCAUUUAUAUGCAUCAUGCCAACACACACACACUGCACACAGCGUGUAUUGAUUGAUGAAAGGCAAUGACACUUUUGUAAACAAAUGAUUUGCACCGGCCGAAUAUUCGAUGAAAUCAGUAGCCUUGCUCAAGGCAGUGGUGAUGGUUGGUGCAUACUGUGUUGGCAUCAUGAAAUCAAAACAGGGUCACAUGGCAGCCUGACAGUGCAAGGGAAACACUCCUCGUUUAAGAAGGAAGUUCGUUCCACCCCUACCCCUAAGCUGCUGUAAAAACUGUGAAAGUUUGAUCUCCUGCCUUACUGCGAGUCAUGGGAAAAGUUAGCCGAGAUGGAUCUGCAUUGGAGUGAAGAUGUGUACGCAAAAACUGAUACAACUCUAGACACUCAUUAAAUUACUCUGGUGCCUGAUUUAUAAAGAAAUGUUCAUACAAAUAAAAUAAUCUUAAUUGCAAUCCUCUGUUUAAUUGGUAACCAAUGAAGCGAUCUUAGAAGGAGCAUGGCAUCACGACGACGAUUUAACCUAAAUAUAAAUAAAAAGUAACCAAUGAAGCGAUCUUAGAAGGAGCAUGGCAUCACGACGACGAUUUAACCUAAAUAUAACACGAGCAGCCCAGUUCUGCAAACUGUGAUGUCUCUUUUAAAAUAUGCAUGUGGGUUUUCUGUAAGCAGCCCAUUACAACAAUCUAACCGAGAAAGAACAUGGCUGCGAAUCACAUGAUGUUAUGAAUCGUCAGAUACAUACUUCCUAAUCUGUGACACA